UGUCUUCAGUAUUUUUUACCUUAAGAUAUAGCUUCAUAUCAUCAGCAUAAAUUAAUAAUCUUAUUUUCUUGAGAAUGUGUGGCAAAUCGUUUACAAACAAAAUAAAUAAAAGCGGACCUAAAUGAGAGCCUUGCGGCACCCCCGAAGUGGCGCGUACGGCGGUUGACUUCUGCCCAUUAAAUCUAACUAUAAGAGGUUGACCAAAUAUGAUUCAAUCCACUUUAGAAGUUGAGGUACACUGAGAAAAAUUUUAUAGUAAAGUUAAUAAUUCAACCAUGUUUAAUUUUACCAUGCCUAAAAAUAGUCGUAACGAACAUGUAAUCAGUAAUGACUACUAUGUUUUCCUUGCAAUUACCAUGGUUUGACAAUCAAGCGCAUAGUAAUCAAUACCAUCAAACGUGGUUAUCUUGAUUACGCUGUUCGUGGUUGUCAGAACCAUGUUCAUGUUUUCCUAGUACUAUUUCCAUGCUUAGUUUUACUUUUUCCGUAGUUUUUCUCGUUAUCGCCCAUUUCCAAAAAAUAAAUGGUUUGCCACGUAACCGGUUUCAUAAAAAUUAAUUUCUGAUGAAGACAUAGCUUUCUUGCUUUCUUAUUGUAAUUCGGCCAACGAUGUUCCCGCUAAUUCUCCUGGUAACAGGUUUGCCGGAUUGAAAACCUACAGCAGGCAUACCAGAAGAAUUUCAAAACCAUCCGUGCAAAUACUUCCCUUCCAAGGCAGCUAGCCAUCGAAGAGAUGCUCCGGAAGUUGGCUGAUGGAAAUUUGAUUCCAAGGAACAGAGGGAUAAGAAGGCGCCGAGGAAGGAAGCGAAAAGUUACAUAAAACUACUCGAACCCAAGAGCCAACUUCCUUACUCUCCUUUUAAUUGAUUGAACCGGAGAAAUAGGAAGUGUCCAGGUCGAAAAAUUACAUUCCAAAAAUUAAAUCUCAGCUUUGGCGAUGACACCCAAUCCGCAAUUCGCGGCUGAACUUCGGUGUAAUUUUCCUUGUUCCAUAAGUUCCGUCGCCGCCGACCAAUCAGUUCACGCCAGAAACCCUCAAACCAACCCUCCGUCACAGCAUCCUUCCAGCCAUGAUCAGCAGCUUAAUUUCCCGAAUGACGUCGUUUACCCGCAGUUGGACAUCCCCAGGAACUUAAGUCGAACCAUCACAUCUUGGCGCUCCCGGAAGAUUUUCAUGUAGAAACCAUUAAUAAUGUAUACAUUUUAUCAAUUUAUUUUAAUGGGAAGCAAUAAAUAUAAUCAAUUGCA